rnacentral:rRNA from 1 species
AGUGAACGCUGGCGGUAGGCCUAACACAUGCAAGUCGAACGGCAGCACAGGAGAGCUUGCUCUCUGGGUGGCGAGUGGCGGACGGGUGAGGAAUACAUCGGAAUCUACUCUGUCGUGGGGGAUAACGUAGGGAAACUUACGCUAAUACCGCAUACGACCUACGGGUGAAAGCAGGGGACCUUCGGGCCUUGCGCGAUUGAAUGAGCCGAUGUCGGAUUAGCUAGUUGGCGGGGUAAAGGCCCACCAAGGCGACGAUCCGUAGCUGGUCUGAGAGGAUGAGCGGCCACACUGGAACUGAGACACGGUCCAGACUCCUACGAGAGGCAGCAGUGGGGAAUAUUGGACAAGGGGCGCAAGCCUGAUCCAGCCAUACCGCGUGGGUGAAGAAGGCCUUCGGGUUGUAAAGCCCUUUUGUUGGGAAAGAAAUCCAGCUGGCUAAUACCCGGUUGGGAUGACGGUACCCAAAGAAUAAGCACCGGCUAACUUCGUGCCAGCCGCCGCAGUAA